ACUUCCUUGUUUCACAUUUGCCGUUCAGGGUACGUUGUCUCUUGCCCCGAGACGCACCAUGGAAGCGCCUGUCUGCUCCGACUUGGAUGGGACCUUUAGACGAUUAUUUAAACAUAUAUGAAGACAGAAAAGCCACGAAACCCACAGGACAGCCAAUCUCCUAAAGCCGUAGACCAUGCCUUUGAGAAACAGUGAAACAUCAGUCAACGUGGUACAUUUGUACGUGGAUAGAGAAAGUCUGGAAUAAAUUAGCAGCAUCAAUAACUUCUGGCAAAGGGAUGAGAUAAGCACAUGAAGAGAUACUUCAAAUUUUUGUUCUACUUACUUCUGUGUAGUUUGGAUUUUUAAAAAAAUUAAAAAAAAAUCUC